rnacentral:ncRNA from 1 species
UGGAUUGCUAUGAAGAGGAAGAGUAACUAUAAUGACGAUUGCAGUGAGUUAGGGAUAGUGAAAACCUAAUAUCUUGAGUUUAGUGAAGACACCUCUGAGCUUGCUAUCGGAUUUUAAAGAUAGUACGUAUACAGGCGUUAACUGUUUAAGUGGGUUUAACCAAUUAGGGUGGCACCGCGGGAAAUUUACUCUCGUCCCUAUG